UGACGGAGCAACGCCGCCUGAGUGAUGAAGGUUUUCGGAUCGUAAAACUUUGUUGUUAGAGAAGAACAAGUACCGUUCGAAUAGGGCGGUACCUUGACGGUACCUAACCAGAAAGCCACGGCUAACUACGUGCCAGCAGCCGCGGUAAUACGUAGGUGGCAAGCGUUGUCCGGAAUUAUUGGGCGUAAAGCGCGCGCAGGCGGUUUCUUAAGUCUGAUGUGAAAGCCCCCGGCUCAACCGGGGAGGGUCAUUGGAAACUGGGGAACUUGAGUGCAGAAGAGGAGAGUGGAAUUCCACGUGUAGCGGUGAAAUGCGUAGAGAUGUGGAGGAACACCAGUGGCGAAGGCGACUCUCUGGUCUGUAACUGACGCUGAGGCGCGAAAGCGUGGGGAGCGAACAGGAUUAGAUACCCUGGUAGUCCACGCCGUAAACGAUGAGUGCUAAGUGUUAGAGGGUUUCCGCCCUUUAGUGCUGCAGCAAACGCAUUAAGCACUCCGCCUGGGGAGUACGGUCGCAAGACUGAAACUCAAAGGAAUUGACGGGGGCCCGCACAAGCGGUGGAGCAUGUGGUUUAAUUCGAAGCAACGCGAAGAACCUUACCAGGUCUUGACAUCCUCUGACAACCCUAGAGAUAGGGCUUCCCCUUCGGGGGCAGAGUGACAGGUGGUGCAUGGUUGUCGUCAGCUCGUGUCGUGAGAUGUUGGGUUAAGUCCCGCAACGAGCGCAACCCUUGAUCUUAGUUGCCAGCAUUCAGUUGGGCACUCUAAGGUGACUGCCGGUGACAAACCGGAGGAAGGUGGGGAUGACGUCAAAUCAUCAUGCCCCUUAUGACCUGGGCUACACACGUGCUACAAUGGGCAGAACAAAGGGCAGCGAAGCCGCGAGGC
rnacentral:rRNA from 1 species